AUUGAACGCUAGCGGGAUGCCUUACACAUGCAAGUCGAACGGAGUUGCCAACGGGCGAGUAAUUUAUCGGAACGUAUCCAGUAGCGGGGGAUAACUACGCGACAGCGUAGCUAAUACCGCAUACUAUUGGAGCGGCCGAUAUCGGAGUAGCUAGUUGGUGAGGUAACGGCUCACCAAGGCGACGAUCCGUAGCUGGCUUGAGAGGACGACCAGCCACACUGGGACUGAGACACGGCCCAGACUCCUACGGGAGGCAGCAGUGGGGAAUCUUGGACAAUGGGGGAAACCCUGAUCGAGCCAUGCCGCGUGUGCGAUGAAGGCCUUCGGGUUGUAAAGCACUUUUGGCAGGGAAGCGGUACCUGCAGAAUAAGCCCCGGCUAACUACGUGCCAGCAGCCGCGGUAAUAC
rnacentral:rRNA from 1 species